CUCUUGUUCACACCCAAAUCGAAAUAAUUAUUACUUACGCCACCAAAUAUGCACGCAUCUGGGCUCAAAAGCAGGCCGGGCUUUGUUGUUGCUUGCACAAUGCAGAUGUACGUAUAGCCAUGGGCCUUGUCCAGCGGACAUUGCUUGUACGAGUCUUUCUUUGCUGCUGCCAUCCGACCGCAUGCACACAAUAGCGUGCACAUAGUGAUCAGCCCUACCAGCAAGUGCUGGCAGGCCCACCAACGACGCGUGGAAGGGAGAAGGGCACACGGAGCUCAUAGCUCUGUCUGCUUCAUACGCUGUGCAUCGAUCGCUGGGAAGGAGAGUGUGGGGCUAGGCUGGCAGCUUCACGGCAUGUGAAAGCUCUCCUGUCCGGCCAUCCGCUGAGCCUUAUCUUCUCACCGCUCAUUCUGUCCAUGAGACUAAACUUAAGGUUGAUCUUAUUGAGUAUGUUGAAAAGCAUGAGUUUGUAUUUGAUGUUGUGUUAGAUGAAGAUGUUUCAAAUGGUGAGGUGGGCACAAAUUGCAUAACCUUUUUCAUCAAUGUUUAAAGUACUGUAAAUUCAUUCCCAGACACUGUCUUCCUUCGACUUACAGGUUUAUCGCGAAACAGUAGAACCUGUUGUUCCAAUAAUUUUUAAUAGAACAAAAGAAACUUGUUUACUUAUGGACAAACAGGUAUAUGUCCCAUCUAUUCUAGAUACAUCCCACUCAGGUAGUGGAAAGACCUACACCAUGAGACCCCUUCCUUCUUAAGGCCUCUCAAGAUAUCUUGAGAUUAAUGCACCAUACAUACCGCAACUAAGGGUUUCAAUUAUUUGUCAGCUUCUUUGAGAUAUACGGUGGCAAAUUAUUUGACUUACACAAUGAUAGGAGGUGAGUUGCUACAGAAUUUGUGAUGUUUAGGAAUGGUGUGUAUCCCUGGGUCCGCUAGAAUUUGUGAUGUUCAGGAAUGGUGUGUAUCCCUAGGUCUGCUAGAUCGAUUGGAGCGUACCUCGCAAGCGCACCUGCGCGUGGUAGGGAUGGGCAGCGCCUCGGCCCUCAUCUUCGAGCGACCGCUCGUUCUCCUUCCCCAAGCCGGCGUGGCCGCACCCACGGCUCCAGCUUGCCAUGGUGAUGGACCCGAAGAGGAAAUGAACGAGCCAUGGCCUCCCCGCAGAGAAGCCACGAGCCCCACCAUCAUGAGCCUCUCCGUCGACCACCACCCCCACGACGCCGUUAUGAAUGAAUGCUAUGAAAAAAUAGGCAUGUUCAUCAUUUCAAAUGCAAAGAUUGAGUUUAAGUAAUAAAAUUCUCAUCAUCUACUUUUUAAACAAAAAUGCAGGAGCUCUGACGCCCAAUCAAGGAUAAAGAAGUUGUGAAGUAGAAGCCAUGCGGUGCCACACCACCCUGUGAAGGGCAGCAUUGGGAGAAGCCCCUUAACACAACAGAGGAGGUUACACAACUUGGUUCAUCUAUUUUUUAUAUCCACAAAAACGUUCUGUGCAUGUAUUCUCAUCAUGAGUUGACUGGCAUGCUUUCAAAUAUUUAUUUUACUCCUAA